AUACUUGAUCUGAAUGGACUGUUGGCAGAUAUAAUUCCAUAUGUUGGCUUGGGAUGUAAACCAGACUUAAUUGUGUCAAGAAAAGCAGUAUUCAAAGGCCCUUUGUUGAUGAUUUUGUACAAUUUUGCUUUGAGAAAUUUGCUGUUGGGGUUUGGUCUUCAAGGACAAAGAGAAAUAUGGAUCCAGUUGUAGACUUUAUUAUA